GUUGUGGCUCAGUGGUAGAGUGCUUGCCUAGCAUGUGUAAGUCACUGGGUUCAAUCCUCAGCACCACA
rnacentral:tRNA from 1 species